UUGACAAUAUCACAUGUCAAAGUCACACUAAAGUGCUUUUUGGACCGGCGUUUACAACGCACAACAACUCAGAAACAGCACUGAGCCAUAGAGGUUAGGAACUGCUGAACAAAGUCCUCCGGAUAGCUUACUUAUUGCACACACUGCUCAGAUCAGAGGCCUUCAUCCUCAACAUUUCAAACGCACUCUUCAUUUAUUUUCUCUGUCAUGUCCACAUGCCUUCUGACACCACAUUAGAGAAAGUUGUUUUCAGUGUGAACGCUCAGCUCUAUGAGGAACCAGCGGGGGAGUGAACUUCUGAGGAACCUUAAUGAGGGGAUUUGAGUGGAUUCUGUGCUGCAGUUCAACCUGAAAAUUCAUUCGGACAAGCAGCGAGAAGCAGUGAAUGUCAGCAAGUCUCCCGGAGCACUCAGAGCUGCCUGAUGGGGGUCCUUCAGAACCAGAACCAGACUCUGGGCUUCUCUCAGCCAGAGGUCACACACUUGGGGUCCACAGCACAGCUUUCAGCUGCAGUAAACAACAUGCUCAUCUGGCUGAGCGUCAUGAUCUUCAUCCUGCAGCUGUGUUUAGCUCUGUUCUUCAUGCUGAGAUGUUCUAGAUAUGACAGCAGAAUACGAGAGGCUCUCAAACACCCGGACACUGUUAAAAAAAUCCUUGGUAUUAAUAAAGAGUCCACCUACCAGCUGUGUGAUACUACUGGUUCUUCAACACCUGCCAUGUCAGCAAUGGAGGAAAGUUAUGAAGAGCCCACAGGCUCUUUGUGUGCACCAUCCAUACACUGGGACCUCGUGCAGUAAAGAUGAGUGUUCAAGCAGGCUUUUAAACAAUGUCAAUGAAACUGCAAACAUUUGUUUAAUGUUUUAAAUGUAGACUGUGAAAAUGUAUCAAUGUGCUUUUUUAUUUGAAAACUUGUUGUUAAAGUAUUUAAUGACAUUAUUUAGGUCAUUAAAUUAAAGCUGCAAUAAUGUGUGCUUUCGCCUGCUCCACAGGGGGUCGUCACACAGCUUUGUUUCAGCUGAGUUUUUACAGCAGAUGCUCUUCUUGACACAGGAUGGGGUCACAGAAGGGGCAUGGGGUGAGAUGGACUCAGAUGAUCUGCUGUGGUGACCCCUAAAGUGAGCAGCCGAAAGAAGUUUUUUGCUUGUUGAGCCACUUAACACUGAUCUAAGGCACCAAACGCAAGGCAUGAACCAGUGUUUUGUCUACACAAAACGGACAACUUAGCAAAGGCCCUUUAGUUGAUCCAUCUACUUAAGCCUCAUCAGAAAUGGCCUCAGCAGAAGGAUGGCUGUCAAGAAGCCAUUCUCAAGGAAGGGAAUCAGGGAGAAAAGGCUGACGUAAGCCAAAGAACACAAGAACUGGACUCAAAAUCAGUGGCAACAGAUCAGGUGGAGUGAUCAAUCCAGUUUGAAAUUUUUGGUUCAAAUCAUCAGCAGUAAUAUGGAGGUCAGGAGAGCGGUACAACCGUGAGUAACUACAGUCAACCUGUCAAACACGGUGGAGGUUCUGUGAUGGUUUGGGGCUGCUUUUCGGCCAAUGGUGAUGGAGAUCUUAUCAGAAGUGAUGGUGCUUUUCUGUGUUUAUAAUUCCAUCAGAUUUUGAUCCCCCAUACAAUACCACCUGAAAAGCAUCUGAUGGCUUCAUUUUCCAGCAUGACAAUGAUCCCAAAGACACUACCAGUGCAGCAAAAACACGCCUGGAUAAAAAACAUGCAAUGGAACGCUAUUAGUAAUGGACGGACUCCUGAGAACAUAGACCUCAACAUUAUUGAAGCAUUGUGAGAUCAUCUUGACAGAGAACAGAGUAAAAGGUAGCCAACACCCAAAGAAGAGCUUUGAAUGUCCUUCAGGAGAGCUCUUCCUGAAGACUGCUUAAAGAAAUGACAAAGAAGCUGCCUCAGAGAGUUCAGGCUGUGCUAAAGAAUAAAAGCGGUCACACCUAAUACUGACUUUCAAGCUGGUCAGAAUUGUAACACCUCUGUUUAUGCCUUAUAUACUGUAUUUCCACAUAUGUCUGCAUAUGUUUCAAUAAAUCACUGAACCUAUUUUUCAUUUUCCUAGAAAUAUACAAAUAAGGGAGGGGUGGCUCAAGACUUUUGCACAUGUCAUUUGGAAGACAUUAGAAGAGGUUAUCAGUGCAGCAGCACAGCAGUGUAUGAACAUGGUAGUUAUGUUUCUCUGUUGUAUUUUUUUAAGUUUAAAGGCAACUUACCCCAAACAGCCAUGAACACAGCAAAGAAGACGGUCGCCCCGUUGUCGAACAGAUGAGUGACCUUAAAACAAA